rnacentral:lncRNA from 1 species
CCGACGCGGCGCUCGCUUCAGGUUCCGGGGCGCGCCGCCUCGGCUAGCGGCCUGGGGUCCGGCGGGAUGGAGGAGGCCGCGCUCGGGGAGGCCGAACUCAACUGGUCCCGCCUCAGCGUGUCGGCCGAGGCGCUGGAGUCGGAGCUGGAGGCGCGCGCGGAGGAGCGGCGCGGCUCACGGGAGGCGCUGCUGCGGCUGCUGCUGCCGUAUAACCGUCUGACGUCGCUGCCACGGGCGCUGGGCAGCGGCUUCCCACACCUCCAGCUCCUGGACGUGAGCGGCAACGCGCUCACGGCGCUGGGACCCGAGCUGCUGACGCUGAGCGGCCUGCGCACGCUGCUGGCCAGGAACAACCGGCUCGGCGGCCCGGGCUCGCUGCCCAAGGGCCUGGGCCAGUCGCCGCUCUGCCGCAGCCUCCAGGUACUCAACCUCAGCGGCAACUGCUUCCAGGAGCUGCCGGCCUCGCUGCUGGAGCUGCGCGCGCUUCAGACCCUCAGCCUGGGAGGCAACCAGCUGCAGAGCAUCCCCGCCGAGAUCGAGAACUUGCAGAGUUUAGAAUGUUUAUACCUUGGAGGAAACUUCAUUAAAGAAAUCCCACCAGAAUUAGCAAAUCUGCCUUCUCUGAAUUACUUGGUGUUGUGUGACAACAAGAUCCAAAGUGUGCCUCCUCAGCUCUCACAGCUGCAUUCGCUUCGAUCCCUCAGUCUACACAAUAACUUGCU